AACACAAGAAAGAAAGAAAAUCAAGAUUCCGAAAGAGCCUGGUGAAGAGGAAACACCUGUGUUGAGGGCUGGGAAACAGCACCAGGCAGAUCCAGGCUCCACCCUCACGGAGCCCUGUGGUCAAGUGGAGGACGGAGGUCAGUCAUCAGACUGUGGCAAGGAUAAGGACAAAACCCGGGCCUGGUGGGGUCACCAGUGAAGGCUUCCAGGGGGAAGUGACCUGCAAGGUAGAGAGGCCCAGGGUUGAGUCGAUUCCCAGGCAGAAUUAGGGAAGUGUGUCUGGUGAAGGCAUGGAGAAGAGAGGAAACGUGAAGGAGCGGCUGAGUCGGGGGCAGGGUGGGGGGUGCAGAGUUGGAGUGGUAAGCGAGGACAGGUGAGGCAGGGUCUGGUCAGCUCUGAUAAGACCCUUGGCCUAUCGUAGCAGGUGGUGGCAUGAUGAGAUGGACAUUUUAGAAAGAGCUUCCUGGCUGCUGUGUGGAGCGUGGCUGGACACAGGUAAGCCUGGAUGGAGUCAGGGUAGGGGGAGACAAAGGAGUUGAGGCAGGAGAGGGAGGUGGCCAGGGUGAGGGAAACAGUGGGGGUGGGGAGAGAGGCCCGACUCCAGAGAUACUGGGAUGCAGAGGGGCCCGGACUUGGAUUGGCCAUGUGUGCUGGGCAGGAGAGGGUAGGCAGGGCAGAGGGAGAGGGAGGCCCCCGGGUCUCUGGGCAGCAUGGGUUAGGGUGGUGAUUUGCACCAAGAUCAAACACAGAGGCAGCUUUAGAAGAAAGGGUCGUGCGCAGUUCAUCAGGGCUACAGGAAAAUUAUGUCAGCCGCUUGUCCUAACCAAGGAUCACACGACCACAUGGAAAACAGCCAGCAACAAACUGCGGAGCACUUUACAAAGCGUUUCCUACCAGGAACUCCUGUGGCCACCUGAUCAUCCACUAAGGCAUCCCCGAUAAUCUAGAGCUUCUGCUCCUGGAGAGUUAAGGCUUUGGCAAGAAGCUCUCCCACAAGGCAAACGAAAUGUCCCCCAUCCAUCUGUGAGUGCACAGGGCAUCACGGCAGUUACUUUCUGUGAAUGGCCUCCUCGUGAACGUCAGUCCCGCCAGGGGGUGGGGAGGGGGACUUGAUUUAUUAUAUGGCUUUUGGACAGUUCCUCCAGAAAUUCUGCCAAAUAGAGGAAUAAUCAACUCUUUCACUCAAGCCCCUCAUACUUUUUUUUUUAAUGAAAGAAUAAAGUACGCAAUGAGCCUGAACUAAAUAAAUAAAAAUGCCACACUUUUGCCCAACA